rnacentral:tRNA from 1 species
AGCAUUGGGAAGAAGGCCGAGUCAGCGUUCGACUGAAAAUCGAAAGGUCACCGGAUCGACGCCGGUCGGAGCCACCA